rnacentral:rRNA from 1 species
AGCGAACGCUAGCGGCAGGCUUAACACAUGCAAGUCGAACGAAGUUCUUCGGAACUUAGUGGCGAACGGGUGAGUAACACGUAGGUAAUGUGCCCUUUGGUGGAGGAUAACUCAGGGAAACCUGAGCUAAUACUGCAUAUGUCCUUCGGGAUAAAAGUCUUCGGACGCCUUAGGAGCAGCCUGCGGCCCAUUAUCUAAUCCUAGUUGGUAGGGUAACGGCCUACCAAGGGUACGAUGGGUAGCUGGUCUGAGAGGAUGAUCAGCCACACUGGGACUGAGACACGGCCCAGACUCCUACGGGAGGCAGCAGUGGGGAAUAUUGCGCAAUGGGGGAAACCCUGACGCAGCCAUGCCGCGUGUGUGAUGAAGGCCCUCGGGUCGUAAAGCACUGUCGGGAGGGACGAAGAUCUGACGGUACCUCGCAAGAAAGCACCGGCUAACUCUGUG